GACUCAUUUUUGUUAAAUUUCAACAAAAACUAAGGCCAUACGGACAGCCAGAGUCACAGCCGA
rnacentral:sRNA from 17 species